UACGUAGGGUGCGAGCGUUAAUCGGAAUUACUGGGCGUAAAGCGUGCGCAGGCGGGCUUUUAAGCCAGACGUGAAAUCCCCGGGCUUAACCUGGGAAUGGCGUUUGGGACUGGGAGUCUGGAGUGCGGCAGAGGAGACUGGAAUUCCUGGUGUAGCAGUGAAACGCGUAGAUAUCAGGAGGAACACCGAUGGCGAAGGCAGGUCUCUGGGCUGACACUGACGCUCAUGCACGAAAGCGUGGGGAGCAAACAGG
rnacentral:rRNA from 1 species